AAAGAGACACAAGGCAGGACAACCAGACAGACACAAACAAGGGACAGGUGAAACCAAUCAGGGAGGAGCAGAGUCAAAAAGUGGCGGGAAAACACAACAAAGUCCAUCCUCACCACCUCCAUCACUAUCUGGUACACUGCUGCCACACCCAAGGACAAGAAGAUGAUAGGCUGCAAUCUGUCAUCUCUCCAGGACCCCAAAGGUUAUAGACGCAUGGCAAAGAGCGGCUGCUUGUCUCUCCUCCGUCAGCAGUGUUUCACCAAGCAGGCGCUGUUUUCCAUUUUCAUAUUGCAAUCAUGAACGGAUUAUAAAUGGAUUAGCUCCAUUAUCAUGCUGGUAAACGUUGCCUUUCUACGUUGCUGAAGUGGGGAAAUGACUGAGGGGCUGACUUGACAAAGGGCAUCGUGGCUGCUCUCCAUCUUCGGAGCUGUCAUCAGUCUCCUUCCCAAUUUCCCAUCAGUUUCUGUGUGACUGCUCCCU